rnacentral:lncRNA from 1 species
GUGAGUGGUCAGAACAGGGAUGUUUUCCCUGGAGAAUCUUUAAUGUCACAGUUGGCAGUAUUACAGGGAUGACGAAUAUACGAAGAUAAUUCUCAAAUUAUUUGAAAUAAAACUUGAUGCCAGCUUCUUUUGGUUCUUUCGGUUUCUGUCGUUGCCUUAGCCACUAAGUGGUGUGGGUUAAAACAAAAGCCAUAAUUAAAUUGAACCCAGUUUAAGGGGAAAAAUUGGGCAACUCUGCUUAACCAGAAGCAGGUGGUGCUGGAAUGCUCCAUGGAAGUGAGCCGUGAGAAGGGAAUGCAGAUUUUUUUAAUUGAAAACAGUUAAAAAUACUUGUGGUCUUUUGUGCCAGGCCGUGAUUAAGACAUAUGCAUAUACGUAUCUUAAUCACACACAUAUAUAUAUAUAUAUAUAUAUUUCAGUUUCAGAAAAACUGUGGUGGAAAUGCAGCAUAGUUUUAAUUAGAGGGGGCUUCGCAGCAAGGGAAGGAACUAAUCUGUGGCGUAAAGCAGCGCACGUCUUGUGCAGCGAGUGUUCCCCUGGGAAGCAGGAUGGAUGGAGCGUUCGUCUGUCUCCCCAUUGGCCGCCUGGGAUGGGAGAGCUGAUCUGGUGACAAGCAGGUGUUCUUCUAAGAGGGAGACGGGAGGAUCAGACAGAGAGAAGGAGAUGUGACCACGGAAGAAGAGGAUGGAGCCAUGUUGGGCCACAAGCCAAGGAAUACAGGAAGCUUCUAGAAGCUGGAAAAGGCAAGGAAAUGGAUUAUCCACUAGAGCCUCCAGAAGGAAUGCCGGCCCACCGACACCUUGAUCUUAGCCCAGGAAAACUGAUUUGGGACGUCUGACCUCCAAAACUAGGCUGGGCUAGCCUUACUACACAUGGAGGAGGUCGGGUGGCACUCAGGAUGCUGAAAGAACAAGAAAUAUGGCACUAAAACUAGAAGUGGAUUAUGCUACUUAACGGCUGAAAACUGAGGACUGGAAACUUGUAUCUCUACCUUCGAUCUGUGUUGUCAAGCAUUGAUCACUUGAAAUGCGGCUAGUGCAGCUGAAGACUGGAUUUUCAAUUCUGUUUAUUUUAUGAAAUUUAAGCUUAAAUCUUAAAAUGAUACACACUUGACUUAUUGGGAAGCUUUUAAGUAUUUUAGAACAACUUGGCCACAUGAAUCUACUUUUUCAAUU